rnacentral:rRNA from 1 species
ACACUCCUGCGGGAGGCAGCAGUGGGGAAUUUUGGACAAUGGGGGCAACCCUGAUCCAGCAAUGCCGCGUGAGUGAAGAAGGCCUUCGGGUUGUAAAGCUCUUUUGUCAGGGAAGAAACGGUGGUGGCGAAUAACUACUACUAAUGACGGUACCUGAAGAAUAAGCACCGGCUAACUACGUGCCAGCAGCCGCGGUAAUACGUAGGGUGCAAGCGUUAAUCGGAAUUACUGGGCGUAAAGCGUGCGCAGGCGGUUGUGUAAGUCAGAUGUGAAAUCCCCGGGCUCAACCUGGGAAUUGCAUUUGAGACUGCACGGCUAGAGUGUGUCAGAGGGGGGUAGAAUUCCACGUGUAGCAGUGAAAUGCGUAGAUAUGUGGAGGAAUACCGAUGGCGAAGGCAGCCCCCUGGGAUAACACUGACGCUCAUGCACGAAAGCGUGGGGAGCAAACAGGAUUAGAUACCCGGGUAGUCCCAUGA